GAAGUGCGAAACGUGUCAUGACUUGCAGAUUCCCGAGAGCUGACGAAUCUCUGAAUGCAAAUGGCGGCCGCUGAGACAUCGGCCAUGGAUUGCAGAGUGUAGUGGUUCCGACUCCUCAUCCAAUCGACACCGAUUGCAUCUGCGCUUGCAUAACUUCGCGAGCGUGAAAUGUCGAGUUAAGGGGUCUUCAACCCGAAGGCCACUUGACUACGGAUCUACAACACACCCCAUGUGUUGUCUUGGAAUUCACAUAUCAUUCAUCCCACCUCUGCAAUGCAGGAUUACCCGCUGAACUUAA
rnacentral:misc_RNA from 1 species